rnacentral:rRNA from 1 species
AAUAAUUUAAAGUAUAUUCUGCCCAGUGAAUUUUUAACGGCCGCAGUACCUUGACUGUGCUAAGGUAGCAUAAUAAAUUGUCUUUUAAUUAAAGACUAGAAUGAACGAAAUUUUGAUAAGAUACUGUUUCUUUUAAAUUUAAAUAAACUUACUUAAAAGGUGAAAAUUCCUUUAUAUAUUUAAUAGACGAGAAGACCCUUAGAAUUUAUAUUAUUUUGUUGGGGCGACAAAGGAACAAAUAACUUCCUUUUAAUUUUAAAUAUUUAACUAAAUAUUUUCAUUAAAGUUAAAUUACCUAAGGGAUAACAGCAUAAUUCUUUUAAGAGUUUGUGACCUCGAUGUUGGACUAUGGACUUAAUUUUAAUAGAUUUAAAAUAAGAUUGUUCUGUUCGAGCA